rnacentral:lncRNA from 1 species
UAUUUAUUUGGUGGGUAGCUUGUCUUUUCUCGAUUGCUACUGAGUUGUAUCGUAGUGUUUCGUUUCUUGUUAAUUUUCUUGGUUGUGGGACAUGCAUCUCUUUUUAGUUAGUUGACUUCUACUAGUGAAUUUUAUAAUAUCUGACAUGAUCGGUUGAAUAAAUUAAAUAAAUAGAUAAUAUGUUUCAUAUAAUAGGGUGAACAAAUAUUAUUAUUUAAAAAAAAUAUAUAAUAUGAUCCACUCUUUUCAUCUCUAUGUUGGGGAUGAAAAUAGUUUCUAUUUGAGAGAAUAAGAUUGAUUGAAACUUCCUUCCUUCAAAAAAAGAUUGAUUGAGAGAAAAAUGAAUAUUGAAAUAAGAUUUGGUAUUGAUUAUUCACAAUGGUGAUUGGUGAUGUAUUUAUACACGUAGAAUGAUGCUACUUGCUCAGCAAGUAAUGGCUUUGUCUAACAAACUAAAGUUGAAAUCCAUGAAACACUACAAGAGAAUCUAAGAUUUGCUACCAUAACUGUGCUAGGAAAUAUAUUGGUAGUGAAUAUUAAAACAAUUAGCUACCAUUUGAUUGAAUUUUGUUUUAUUUUGAUUUUAUAAUAUAUAAAAAUAAAUAAAUUACUGUAAAGGUCAUUUUUGUUUAAAAUAGAAAAAAAAAUCAUUUAGAAACCAGCACCACAUUAUUGCAAAUCGCGAUCUCAAUUUUGUCCCCCUCACUCGCACAACCUCCGCCGUGGUACCGAUCAUAAGGUCUAACGAUAAAUCAGAAGGUCAAAAUAACCUCAUUAUGUUAAUUUUUUUAUUUUGCUAAUACAAAACUGUUAACUUUCUUUGCCGCAUCAUCAUCAUUUUUUGAUAGAUAAAUGUCACAAAGAACUAAAAAUUGUAAAAACAUAGUCUAAAAACAAUAUAUUGCACUAAAAUCAGAUUUAACACAUAUUGUAGGACCAAAAAUGUUAUUAAACAAAAACAAGGGUUUAUAAAGAUCACAAAGAACUCAUAUAUAUAUCAAUUGUAACAUCUCAGAAGGUGUUUGGUACUAGAGACCAAGGUGAUUUUCAAAAAUAUCUGAACUGAUAAAGCUUGAAUAUUUUUGGGACGUUUAAUACUACAAUUACAUAUUUUUCAAAAUAUACAGCAAGAAUUUACAUUCUAGUAUAUGACUCUGACUGUGAUCCGGUAACAAAAUGGCCACUUUCAAAAUUUCAUUACUAUUAUUUAAUCCUUGCAAAUACGAGAAAAAAUAAACUAACAUGAAUACUGUGAUGUGCAUUUUCAGGAU